UACGUAGGGGGCAAGCGUUGUCCGGAUUUAUUGGGCGUAAAGAGCGUGUAGGCGGCCAGACAGGUCAGCUGUGAAAACUCGAGGCUCAACCUCGAGACGUCGGUUGAAACCGUCUGGCUAGAGUCCGGAAGAGGAGAGUGGAAUUCCCGGUGUAGCGGUGGAAUGCGCAGAUAUCGGGAAGAACACCCGUGGCGAAGGCGGCUCUCUGGGACGGUACUGACGCUGAGACGCGAAAGCGUGGGGAGCGAACAGG
rnacentral:rRNA from 1 species